rnacentral:rRNA from 1 species
AUUGAACGCUGGCGGCAGGCCUAACACAUGCAAGUCGAGCGGCAGCGGGAAAGUAGCUUGCUACUUUUGCCGGCGAGCGGCGGACGAGUGAGUAAUGCCUGGGAAAUUGCCCAGUCGAGGGGGAUAACAGUUGGAAACGACUGCUAAUACCGCAUACGCCCUACGGGGGAAAGCAGGGGACCUUCGGGCCUUGCGCGAUUGGAUAUGCCCAGGUGGGAUUAGCUAGUUGGUGAGGUAAUGGCUCACCAAGGCGACGAUCCCUAGCUGGUCUGAGAGGAUGGUCAGGCACACUGGAACUGAGACACGGUCCAGACUCCUACGGGAGGCAGCAGUGGGGAAUAUUGCACAAUGGGGGAAACCCUGAUGCAGCCAUGCCGCGUGUGUGAAGAAGGCCUUCGGGUUGUAAAGCACUUUCAGCGAGGAGGAAAGGUUGAUGCCUAAUACGUAUCAACUGUGACGUUACUCGCAGAAGAAGCACCGGCUAACUCCGUGCCAGCCGCCGCGGUAAGAC